GAGGAAAGUCCGGACAACACAGAGCAACUCACUUCCUAACGGGAAGGCUCCGUUCAGGCGGAGACAGCAAGUGCCACAGAAAAUAUACCGCCUUGUCUUUGAUGAGGUAAGGGUGAAAACGUGAGGUAAGAGCUCACGGUAUUGCAUGGCGACAUGGAUUACGGUAAACCUUGAGUGUUGAAAGACCAAAUAGGUUACGAAACUCGAAGGCUGCUCGUCUUCUUUUACUUCGGUAAGAUUCGUAAUGGGUAGGUUGAUGGAGUCUGUCAGCAAUGGCAGAUCUAGAUAAAUGAUAGAAAACCGAUUUUUCGGUGUACAGAACCCGGCUUA
rnacentral:RNase_P_RNA from 18 species